GACGAACGCUGGCGGCGUGCUUAACACAUGCAAGUCGAACGGAAAGGCCCUGCUUUUGUGGGGUGCUCGAGUGGCGAACGGGUGAGUAACACGUGAGUAACCUGCCCUUGACUUUGGGAUAACUUCAGGAAACCGGGGCUAAUACCGGAUAGGAGCUCCUGCUGCAUGGUGGGGGUUGGAAAGUUUCGGCGGUUGGGGAUGGACUCGCGGCUUAUCAGCUUGUUGGUGGGGUAGUGGCUUACCAAGGCUUUGACGGGUAGCCGGCCUGAGAGGGUGACCGGCCACAUUGGGACUGAGGUCAGGCCCAGACUCGUACGGGAGGCAGCAGUGGGGAAUAUUGCACAAUGGGCGGAAGCCUGAUGCAGUAACGCCGCGUGCGGGAUGACGGCCUUCGGGUUGUAAACCGCUUUCGCCUGUGACGAAGCGUGAGUGACGGUAAUGGGUAAAGAAGCACCGGCUAACUACGUG
rnacentral:rRNA from 1 species